CGAGGACGAACGCUGGCGGCGUGCCUAAUACAUGCAAGUCGAACGGUCUUUCUAUGGAAGCUUGCUCCACUGAGAAGAUAGUGGCGAACGGGUGAGUAACACGUGGGUAACCUGCCCAUAAGGAGGGGGAUAACAUCCGGAAACGGGUGCUAAUACCGCAUAGUUUUCUUGAUCGCAUGAUUGAGAAAGGAAAGACGGCCUUUGUGCUGUCGCUUAUGGAUGGACCCGCGGCGUAUUAGUUAGUUGGUGAGGUAACGGCUCACCAAGACGAUGAUACGUAGCCGACCUGAGAGGGUGAUCGGCCACAUUGGGACUGAGACACGGCCCAAACUCCUACGGGAGGCAGCAGGUAGGGAAUCUUCCGCAAUGGACGAAAGUCUGACGGAGCAACGCCGCGUGAGUGAAGGUAAAGGGUUUUCGGAUACGUAAAACUCUGUUGUCAGAGAAGAACAAGUUGGAGAGUAACUGCUCCAGCCUUGACGGUAUCUGACCAAGAAAGCCACGGCUAACUACGUGCCAGCCGCAGC
rnacentral:rRNA from 1 species